rnacentral:rRNA from 1 species
UGGGGAAUAUUGCACAAUGGGCGAAAGCCUGAUGCAGCGACGCCGCGUGAGGGAUGACGGCCUUCGGGUUGUAAACCUCUUUCAGUAGGGACGAAGCGCAAGUGACGGUACCUGCAGAAGAAGCACCGGCUAACUACGUGCCAGCAGCCGCGGUAAUACGUAGGGUGCGAGCGUUGUCCGGAAUUACUGGGCGUAAAGAGCUCGUAGGCGGUUUGUCACGUCGUCUGUGAAAUCCUAGGGCUUAACCCUGGACGUGCAGGCGAUGCGGGCUGACUUGAGUACUACAGGGGAGACUGGAAUUUCUGGUGUAGCGGUGGAAUGCACAGAUAUCAGGAAGAACACCGAUGGCGAAGGCAGGUCUCUGGGUAGUAACUGACGCUGAGGAGCGAAAGCAUGGGUAGCGAACAGG